GACCCCAGGUCAGGCGGGAAUUCCCCGCUUGAGUUUUAGGCAUAUCAAUAGGCGGGAGAAA
rnacentral:rRNA from 1 species